GCCUGGAUAGCUCCGUCGGUUAGAGCCCGGUGCUUAUAAAAGGUUGCAGGUUCGAUCCCCGUGUGGGGCG